rnacentral:rRNA from 1 species
GACGAACGCUGGCGGCGUGCCUAAUACAUGCAAGUAGAACGCACAGUUUAUACCGUAGCUUGCUACACCAUAGACUGUGAGUUGCGAACGGGUGAGUAACGCGUAGGUAACCUGCCUGGUAGCGGGGGAUAACUAUUGGAAACGAUAGCUAAUACCGCAUGAUAUUAAUUAUUGCAUGAUAAUUAAUUGAAAGGUGCAAUUGCACCACUACCAGAUGGACCUGCGUUGUAUUAGCUAGUAGGUGAGGUAACGGCUCACCUAGGCGACGAUACAUAGCCGACCUGAGAGGGUGAUCGGCCACACUGGGACUGAGACACGGCCCAGACUCCUACGGGAGGCAGCAGUAGGGAAUCUUCGGCAAUGGACGAAAGUCUGACCGAGCAACGCCGCGUGAGUGAAGAAGGUUUUCGGAUCGUAAAGCUCUGUUGUAAGAGAAGAACGGGUGUGAGAGUGGAAAGUUCACACUGUGACGGUAUCUUACCAGAAAGGGACGGCUAACUACGUG